UCAACAACAAGGCGCGGCCAGAGCCUCUCCUCUCACACGUGCACACAAAGGGACCCAGAGCAGCCGCCGCCGCUUCUUCCCAUCGGACUAAUAACUCCCCUCCUCCCCUCCCCCUCCUCCCUGUCAUCCUCCUCCUCCUCCUCCAAAACAAAAACGCGCGCACACACACAAACCGUGCAGGGGAGUCAGCAGCACCUCGCUUAGGCGUAGGGCUGGUUCCUGCAACUUCUAGCCCCUGCUCUGAUGUGAGUCAGAGUGAGGUUCACUUUCUGGGUGUGUGUGGGUGGGGGUGGGAGUGUGUCGUUUGCUUGUUAGCGAGGGGUGCAGUGGUUGCAGCUCAGGACUGAUUUGAUUUCUUCCCUCCCCCCUCAAGGCACUCCGUUUGAAUUGGGCUGGAAAGUUGCGAAGCGGGGUGGGCGGCAUACGAAAGUUAAACACAAAGCGAGGAGCGCUCCUUUGUUCUGCUAGGGGGGACCUUUGGAGAGGGUGGCUGAGCCAGACACAUGCAGGUCAGAAGCGAUCGACAGCAAUUAGCCUUUCCCGUCAAAUGCCUCCCUCCACCCAAAGGAGCCAGGCGCUUGGAGGAGGAGGAGGAAAGCGGAAGGUGUAUCACACCAAGGGGAUGCUGCUGGCCCCAUCUCUGUGGUUUGCGCAACAGGUAGAGAUGCCAAAGACUGGAAAUAUCUUUUGUUGUUGGUCUCGUGGCCGGGGAUUAAGCUUUUGUUCUGAAGGCUGGAUGUCUCCACAAGUGAAAGGACAAAGUCUUGCCAAAUCCACUCGCGCGAGUGUGUGUGCGCCUGUAAAUGAACCCUUUCCCCCCCUCUUGUUUUUAUAUUUUCCUUGAAUCUACAUUUGUCCUACAGACUGUAGAAGAUCAAACUGACCGAAACCAGAUACCAAGGGGAUUGUUCUCCGUGAUUGUCAAGGGAAUCCAAACAAAGAGGUAAAGUGUGAUUGUCAGAGAAGCAUGAUGGCUGCCAAAACACCUUACAGCAAUAGGUGCCAUAUUGCAUUUGCUCUUCAAAUGGUGGAAUACAGCUGUGGAUACUUUAGUGGGGAUUAACAGAGUACAAACACUGAAUGACUAAAGACAUCAAACAUCAUCAUUUGGAUUUAUAUAUCUAUUAAUAAACUGAUAAAACUGGUGGUAGUGGCUCUUGAAGAAAUCAGAAAAUAUGGAAGGUGCUGUUGAAAAUGGUCUGGUGAUCGCUUUGUGACAAUGAUCUUCUACAAUUAAAAUAAGGGAAUUGGCCAUAUCUCUUUCUUUCGCCCGGUUGCUGAAGCAUUGUCACAGGACAGCAAGGAUUGAUGAAUAUUCUUCAGAGUGUAAAGAAGAAGCUCAUUUUAAAAUGUAUGAGUCAUGUCAGUACAGUGAAAGAGGAGGAUUUAUGUUUCUGAAGUGGAAUUGUGUAUGUGAUCAAAGGAUUUACAUGCAGCUCUCUGUGCUGUAGUUCCUUCCUGCUCCAGGAGGGACACCUGGGGUGAUGUCUUCGAACGUGGUAAAGGGCCUCUAUCUGCAAGCUGGCAUUAAGAUACCAGCAGCUUUAGAUACCACUGUGAUGGGCAACCUUGAAAUACCAAGAGCGGCAAGCAGCAUACCACAUCUUCAUUUUUAGCUCUUUUCCAUACUCUGCUCUGUUUCCCUGGAGAGGAACGAGGCCCAGAAUUCAAGCCAGUCUUCCUAAGUGAGGGACCCGCUCAAAACUGCUCACUGAUGGACAGUAGGUCUUGCCUGUCACUCUUGCUGUUAUGGCAGGAGGUAUUGCAAUGGUGACCAAGCUAUGUCCAGGUUAUGCCUUUCUUCAGAUACUAAGGACUGCAGGCUUCGAGCUGCGCUGUUUGGAAGAAGCAACGUCGUCGUCUCUCACAGCUACGACGCGGCACUGCUCUCAGCAUAUCCUGCUUUUUCCCCCCAUUUACCUGGGCGGCUUCUGCUGUCUCUGUUGCUGCUGCUGGGGCUGCUGCAGUUUCGCUGCCUGUGCUUCACCCUGGCAUGUCUGAGUCGGGAAUCACUCGUCUGCACGCUGCUAAGGAAGAGCAGCGAUGGAACUCUGGCCACAUUUUUUUUUUCUGUUGGUGCUGGAAGAGAAGGGUUGUGAUGUGGGGGUGAGGGUUUUUUUGGAAGGGUGGGGACGUUAAUCCAAAGUGAGGUGGGAGAAAGUUUAAAGAAAUAUUACGCAAAAUAAUCCAGCACACGACAAGGGCAUCAGCAGCAAGAAUCCAGCCUCUGCUGCUCGAAAGGAUUAACAUGGGAAAAGCCACAGUGAUGCAGUAGUGUUUCACCUCAGCAUUGUGCUGGAGAUGGAUAAAUAAGGUAUCUGAUAUGUCCGCCUGUAAAGGCAAAGCUAUGGGAGGAAGAGAGCGAGAGAGCAAAUGAAAAGGAAGAAGAAACACUGUAUUCUGUUUGUCUGAUUCUGUGCAUUCUUAUUCUAGAGAUGGUUGCAUAAUUUACCAAACAAUGUAUGGACGGAGGGACUGUAAAUUGUAGUCUGAACACUCCCGACGCUGUCAGGGAGGGAACUGAUGGGCUAGGUGACUGCACUGACAUCCCCAGGGAAAACAGCCGUCAUGCAGUAUAUAUUUAUAUAUGUAUGUGUAUCUCUUGUGUGUCCAUGUGCAGACAUGAAAAAAGGCAUUUCUACCAAUUUACACAGGAAGUUUGUCACUUUGCUAGAUCAGACUUGAUUGCAGCUUAUAUUUUCAGCUACAGCUCUACACCCAUUUCCUGAAUCAGAAGGUGUUUUGUGAAAACAGACGUAUGCAGAAUUCUUUUAAGAAAUGUGAAAGCAGCUCCUUUUGAUUUAACACCUUGAAGCACUGAAUCUUCGGUACUGUGCCGAGAGGAGCUGUGUGGGUUUUGUUUUUUUCAUCUUAAAAUCUUUAUAAACACAGCUGUAUUCAGUAUGGUGAAAAAUUCUAUACUGUAAAUAGAAAUGCGAUCAAUCUAACCAAAAUAAAUGUAUCCCAGAUGACUGCUAGACCAGCUGGCUACCACAGUCUUCAGAUGGCUAAAUGCUCAACUGAGAUGGAUUCAGCAUUAUAUUUACUACUACUUUUUUUAUUUCAAAAUCAGCCUAUAAUUAAAAAAAGAUUCUUGGUCCGGUUAAAAGAGGCAAUGCUCACGACUGGCAGUGCAUCAUUCUGAAAUGGACACUGAUAUUUUUCAUUUCUGGACAUGCCUUUGGAAGAUUGUGUUUUUAGAACAGAUGGACUUGUCAUAAUACAGACAUACUUAGUAUGGUGAAAACUAGUAGACGGCUCAGGUUGGCCAUAUCCAUGUAAUGUGCAAAAUGAAGUUAAGGGAAACAAAUGCUGCACUCAACUAGUGGGGACUUGGUAUGAUUUUUAGCAACCCCUCUACAGUGAGAGUUUUGGGUUUUUUUAAACACAAAUCCAAAACCCAUAAAGUCAUCUUAAAAUUUGUAUGAGGGGAUUUCCCAAUAGUCAUGGUGAGCUAUCCUGCAAGACGCCUGUCUGGGCCUUCCACUAUUUGUUACCAGGUCUACAAAGGCAGCCCUGUAUGUUGGAUUAUAUUUAGCCAGCUGUUGGAUAACAUUCCUGUGUUGUGGGCGGAGGAGUCUUAUUACUUCCAAACUGUAGUUAUCUGUUUAAAGGAAAAAUAGUUUUGGAAAAUACAUUGAGCUCAGCUGAGGAGUUGCACCUCUCCUGUACCUUUCUCAAAUGCUGUGUUUCCAACCCAGCCACUUUAAAACAAAACUGGGAGGAGGAAGAGAGACUUAACUCAUAGCUUCAAAGCUGCAGAGACAAGCAAAAUGUCAGCAGCUUGUAAUUAGCUGCUCAUGGUUAUGUCAGUGACUGUAUCUCUCCAAGAAUAACUGUGAUGCGUGCCACAAAGUAAGGAAGAUAGUCAUAACCUAGUUAUCAAGCCUGGUUCAAACAAGAGCAAAUGGAUUAAUGAAUCUGCUGUGUUCAUAAAUCAAAUAUGGAUGGAUUACAUAUAUAAGAUUUACUGAAUUCUGCAUAAUUGAAGGGUGAAUUAGGAACUUGUCAGAGGGCACGUUCGCUAAGUAAAAGUGUGAAUCCUUUUAAAAAUGCAGAUGAACUAUCCCUGAAAAUGUCUUUAAGGGCUCCAUCUAGUACAAGCAGCUGUGGGACACUGAAGCAUGCUACAAAGGAAAAAACCAAGAGACGCACGGAGGUGCUUAAAAGAAAGGGAGUAAUAAAACAAAGAAAGCAUGCUGAAAUUCUGUUUUGGUAUUACAGAUUUGAUACUAAAAUACCACCCCAGAGAAGACUUAUUGUGGUCUGAUGUGGUUUAAAUUGACUCCUCUGUUUGAGUGCAAAAAAAGAAAAAAGAUUUUGUGAGGCUCAGUGCAACAUCUUGGAGCCAAGCAGAGAGCAGAGUACCAGAAAUGCUUGCUUUUAAAGGGACAAGAUCAAUCCAUACUAGGAUCUUUCUGUACUCUGCAAUUAUUUUAGGUCUAUGCUGGCAAUUCAGCAACAUUUAAACAGUGAGAUUGUGGGGGGUACUUAAUCUGCUCUGAUUGGUCUUUUUCCACAUUGUUGCUGUAAAAUGUUUACAUGGCUUUUAUCCAUACACCUUACAACAUUCAGUUUGCAUUUCUGUUUGUGUUCAUGCUGCACAAUUGCUACAAGCCUGGUUUGUUUCCAUAUUCCCAGCAGAAGUCAGUUUCAGUUCAGCUAUGUUUAUUUAGCUCCUUAAUACACCAAGAUAGAUAGAUUGUAUUUUGCAAACACAGAUUUUUUUUUUACUGUGAACACAAAUUUGUAGGAGGAGAUGACUGUAUAUUAAACCAAUAGCUCUUUGAAAUGCAUGUAAUAUAAUUUAAAUAUACUUAAUUUAAUUAAUAGAAGGUUACAAAAGCUGG